UACGGGGGGGAGCAAGCGUUGUUCGGAUUUACUGGGCGUAAAGGGCGCGUAGGCGGCGCAACAAGUCACUUGUGAAAUCUCCGGGCUUAACCCGGAGCGGUCAAGUGAUACUGUCGUGCUAGAGUGCGGAAGGGGCUACUGGAAUUCUCGGUGUAGCGGUGAAAUGCGUAGAUAUCGAGAGGAACACCUGCGGCGAAGGCGGGUUGCUGGGCCGACACUGACGCUGAUGCGCGAAAGCCAGGGGAGCGAACGGG
rnacentral:rRNA from 1 species